rnacentral:rRNA from 1 species
UUCCGGUUGAUCCUGCCGGACCUGACUGCUGUCAGAUUGAUACUAAGCCAUGUGAGUCAUUGUAGCAAUACAAGGCAGACGGCUCAGUAACACGUAGCCAAUCUAACCUAUGGACGGGGAUAACCUCGGGAAACUGAGGAUAAACCCCGAUAGAUCAUUAUGCCUGGAACGGUUUAUGGUCCAAAUGAUUCGUCGCCAUAGGAUGAGACUGCGGCCUAUCAGCUUGUUGGUGAGGUAAUGGCCCACCAAGGCUAUUACAGGUACGGGCUCUGAGAGGAGAAGCCCGGAGAUGGGUACUGAGACACGGACCCAGGCCCUAUGGGGCGCAGCAGGCGAGAAACCUUUGCAAUGUGCGCAAGCACGACAAGGUUAAUCCGAGUGAUUCCUGCUAAAGGAAUCUUUUGUUAGUCUUAAAAUCACUAUUGAAUAAGGGGUGGGCAAGUUCUGGUGUCAGCCGCCGCGGUAAAACCAGCACCUCAAGUGGUCAGGAGGAUUAUUGGGCCUAAAGCAUCCGUAGCCUGCUCUGUAAGUUUCCGGUUAAAUCCAUUAGCUCAACAAAUGGCCUGCCGGAAAUACUGCGGGGCUAGGGAGUGGGAGAGGUAGACGGUACUCGGUAGGAAGGGGUAAAAUCCUUUGAUCUAUUGAUGACCACCUGUGGCGAAGGCGGUCUACCAGAACACGUUCGACGGUGAGGGAUGAAAGCUGGGGGAGCAAACCGGAUUAGAUACCCGGGUAGUCCCAGCUGUAAACGAUGUAGACUCGGUGAUGCGCCGGCUUGUGGCCAGUGCAGUGCCGCAGGGAAGCCGUUAAGCUUGCCGCCUGGGAAGUACGUACGCAAGUAUGAAACUUAAAGGAAUUGGCGGGGGAGCAC